CAGGUCAACAGCACAUGAGGUACAGAAGGUCGGAGGGACUCGUUGAGCGAUGUGGUCCUUUUGUGGAAUGGAUAGAUCUAAAGAUAAAAGACAAGUUUAAAAUGCCGGUGACUCAGCCGGGGUGUUGUCAAAUAAAUUGGGACGACACCUCUUUGGUCCCAGCAGAUGCUACGUGCUUCGUUAUGGCGAGCUCCGGUGAAGCUCUUCCUGUGCUGUGACUAAUUAUGACCCAGACUCAGAGUGUCUCCUCAGCUCCGGCCAGGAUAAACUCUAACCUCUGUGACAUCACGGCCAAAUCCCUUCACCGCACUGCAAAAACUACCUGCAAAGAGCCCAAAGCAAUUACUUGGAUUCCAACCUCCCCAGAUUCCAAUCUGCAGAAUGUGCCGAAACAAGCCUGAUCCAUGGAGCAUCCACCCAGCAACCUACAGGACCCAAAGGAUCUGCUGAAAGGAACAUUCCAGAGCCACAUAUCAAAGGACACCUCACCUCGAAGGGCCCUGUGUCGACACCACAAGGCCUCAGAGACGUUUUCAGAACCUGAAUCUGAUUUUGUUUCGCCAAGCAUGUUGCACAAACAAGGAAUUCUGUUCCAGCUGUUGGUGUGCACAAAGGUUAUGACAACAACGUGCAUAAGACAAUUUUCCAUAGACAAAAUAGCAUAUAUUAUAUAUAACAAGCACAUACAUUUUGCCUGGACAAUGGGAACAACAGGGACGUAUAAGGCAGUGAUUUAACUGCUGUGUCUUUUUGGUGUAGAUCUGGUGACAGAAGUGAAGCCUGGGAGAUAUUCAACCCACCUAAAAAGGUUGAUUUGUGGUCCACUACUCUCAGGCUUGAAAUGGGAUGUUCUUCUGUAAUAACCUGCCCACCACAAGAUGACGCAGGAUGAAAAAAAAAGAACUGGGUCUGCACAAAUGAGAUUUUCUCUGAUCCACUGAGUCAAAAUGAUACAUUUGCACUGUAACCAUUAAGUUAAGACAUGGCUGAUAAUAAAAUGAUAUUGUUGUUGGCACUAGGCAGAAAAUGUUAUCCAUCUUGACCACCAUUAAUCGUGUUAAUUUGUGUCUAAAAAGUAAAUAAAAGUCCCAGACUGAAGCAAUGUUAGACUUCUUAAUUUGCCAUUUCUCACAUUCAAAUGAUAGUGAGGAUCAAGCAUUUUGCUAAUUAUCACAUCAAGUUUGAAAUGCUUGUAUAGGGAUAAUCACAUUCAGUUAUAUGUAAAGAAUAUAGGUUCUACUUCUUUUUAAAUAAAAAUCAUGAGAGGGAGGGCAUCACCUCUGUCACACCAAACUUCUCACAAGAAAGUGAAAAAAUUGUUUUAACAAAAGUCUACAAUUGUAGCAUCUUAUGUUGUGGCGCAUUAACCUAUGCAAAGGAGGUUGUGUGCUUAGUAGCAUUUGCAUGCAUGCAUGUCCUGCUGUCUGUAAACCUAAUAUCUUGACAUUUUGAAUAAAUUCUCAUAUCAUUUUGUAGGGGUGCAUAGUGGGAUCAUGUUAACAAUCCAUAUAAACUUGGUUUACAUCCAUUAAGGACUUCAAGGCCAACUUAAUGAUUUACUUAAACUAUAUUUCAAGGAUAUCAACAGGACCUGGAAAAACUAGUCCAUGCAUUCAUUUUUAGUAGGCUUGAUUAUUGUAACAGCAUCUUUACAGGUCUAGCUAAAAAAAUCAGUCAGACAACUACAGCUCAUUCAGAACUCUGCUGCUCGAGUCCUCACUAAGACCAAAGAAGUGGACCACAUCGGUCCAGCUCUGAGGUCUUUACACUGGCUGCCUGUCCGUCAGAGGAUAGACUUUAAAGUUCUGAUGCUGGUCUAUAAAGCUCUGAAUGGUUUAGGACCAAAAUACAUCAGUGACCUCCUGACCCAGUAUGAACCUUCCAGAUCCCUCAGGCCAUCUGGAUCCGUUUUUUUAUUAGUUCCCAGAGUCAGAACCAGACAGCUGCAUUCAGCUUUUAUGCUCCUUAUAUCUGGAACAAACUCCCAGAAAGCCUCAGAUCAGCUGAAAAAUUCAGUUUAUUUAAAUCCAGGUUGAAGACUCACCUGUUCUCAGCUGCAUUGUGCUUUAUUCAAAUGCAAAUCCGCACUGUUUUACUUUUAAGCUUAAAUUUCAAAACUUACAUUUUAACUACUGAUUUUAUCUACUGUUCCUUUCUUUUUUUUUUUUCAUUUUAAAUGCUUUUUAUUUGCGUUUAUUUUUUAAUGUCUCUGUAAAGCUUGUUGUUGAAUUGUGCUAUAUAAAUAAA
ensembl:lncRNA